GGGAAUUAGCUCAGUUGGUAGAGCAUCUGCUUUGCAAGCAGGGGGUCAUCGGUUCGAAUCCGUUAUUCUCC
rnacentral:tRNA from 1 species